rnacentral:rRNA from 1 species
UACGUAGGGGGCGAGCGUUGUCUGGAUUUAUUGGGCGUAAAGAGCGUGUAGGCGACCAGGUAGGUCUGCUGUGAAAACUCGAGGCUCAACCUCGAGACGUCGGCGGAAACCAUCUGGCUAGAGUCCGGAAGAGGAGAGUGGAAUUCCUGGUGUAGCGGUGAAAUGCGCAGAUAUCAGGAAGAACACCCGUGGCGAAGGCGGCUCUCUGGGACGGUACUGACGCUGAGACGCGAAAGCGUGGGGAGCGAACAGG